UGAACGCUGGCGGCAGGCCUAACACAUGCAAGUCGAGCGGUAGCACAAGAGAGCUUGCUCUCUGGGUGACGAGCGGCGGACGGGUGAGUAAUGUCUGGGAAACUGCCUGAUGGAGGGGGAUAACUACUGGAAACGGUAGCUAAUACCGCAUAACGUCUUCGGACCAAAGUGGGGGACCUUCGGGCCUCACGCCAUCAGAUGUGCCCAGAUGGGAUUAGCUAGUAGGUGGGGUAAUGGCUCACCUAGGCGACGAUCCCUAGCUGGUCUGAGAGGAUGACCAGCCACACUGGAACUGAGACACGGUCCAGACUCCUACGGGAGGCAGCAGUGGGGAAUAUUGCACAAUGUGCGCAAGCCUGAUGCAGCCAUGCCGCGUGUGUGAAGAAGGCCUUCGGGUUGUAAAGCACUUUCAGCGAGGAGGAAGGGUAGUGUGUUAAUAGCACAUUGCAUUGACGUUACUCGCAGAAGAAGCACCGGCUAACUCC
rnacentral:rRNA from 1 species